rnacentral:rRNA from 1 species
AUUGAACGCUGGCGGCAUGCCUUACACAUGCAAGUCGAACGGCAGCACGGGGCAACCUGGCGGCGAGCGGCGAACGGGUGAGUAAUGCAUCGGAACGUACCCUGGAGUGGGGGAUAACGCCGCGAAAGCGGCGCUAAUACCGCAUAUGCUCUGAGGAGGAAAGUGGGGGGACCGCAAGGCCUCACGCUCUGGGAGCGGCCGAUGUCCGAUUAGCUAGUUGGUGGGGUAAAGGCUUACCAAGGCGACGAUCGGUAGCUGGUCUGAGAGGAUGAUCAGCCACACUGGGACUGAGACACGGCCCAGACUCCUACGGGAGGCAGCAGUGGGGAAUUUUGGACAAUGGGGGCAACCCUGAUCCAGCCAUGCCGCGUGAGUGAAGAA